rnacentral:lncRNA from 1 species
AAUUUUAUAGGCGGUAAGAGAAGUUAAACACCCAAGAUUUCAAAGUGGACAUGGAAACAGCACAGAGGCUCCAGAGACACAAAAUGAAUCUGAAAAGUGCAGGCAAAGGAGAGGAUUUCUGAGUUGGGUUCUGAGGUGGUGGUUGGGGAGGGAGACCAAGGCAAAAACAAAGAAGGUGAGAUACUUGUUCUCAAAUGUUCAUCGGUAUGAAGAUUGGGAACAAGAGUGAAAUGAUCCUAGGACAAUGCUGGUAAGCCUGUUAGAAAUACGGAAGGCCAGCGCUUCCAGAAACCGCCCGGCUGCUCUUGACCCACACAUCAGGGAACACUCAAGAUUUAUCUAAACUGUCAGGGAAGGGCCGUGGCCUGUAUCUCGACAUCUGUGGGAAGAUGUUCCUGAAGUAAGAGUCCAAAACCAUGCGUCCAACAGAGGAGUGAGGAGGUGGUCAAGACCUACCAGCCGUGGAGGUGGAUGCAGAACAGGAAAUGGAGUCAGGACCAGAGAAGGCACCUUGGGCAAAGUUCCCAGCAAGCUCCUGCUCCCGACCUGCUGCCCACUCAGCAGCUGGAACCACCUGAGCAUCAUUUGUAGGCUCUGUCCCAUCUCAGUCUCAGGGACCCAGGGAGCUGGUAACUAAGUAGCCCAAAGUCUACUGAGCGAAUUAUCCAGUCCUCUUGUCACCUGCUGCUUUUCAUAACUUCAGCUCUGCCUUAUUUCUGGAAUUAAGCCCUUGCUUCCUGGCCCACUUCCAGUCAUCAGGUUCCCAGAUCGCCCUCCCGCCCAAGUCCCUCCGUAUAAUUUUCCAGGUUAGAACAGAGCUGCAUCUUGAUUGGCUAUGAAGUGGUCCUGGGAGAGCGCCUCUGCUGGAACUUUGAGAUCUUUCUCCGGAUUCCCAGGUGGAUAUCCAGCCUGAAGUCCUGUGUUUUCUAGUCUCAGAUGCCCUGUGGCUAGGGAUCCGCCCCUCUUAGAGCCCCAGCAAAUUACCUCCUGCAGGAAUUCUCAAACACCCAUUACUAGUCUCAGGACAGUCUGUAUCAUUUGCCUGGAGGCUUGGUCUCCCCUCGAGUCAUACCUAAGUCAGCCACCGACCAGAUUUCUCUUCCUGCCUCAGAGUGAGACAGCCAAUAGGAGAGGCAAGGAGAAGCCUUGGAGGAAGGCUGGAAGGCAGGCAGAUCCCAAGGAAGAAGGAGGAAGCACUUGGCUGAACAGUGAGGUGUCGCUUUCUUCAUCUGAUCUGGGUUAUAGCUGUUAACUCUUCAUCCCCAACCUGCCUGCUUCCCCAACAACCCUGAAAUCAACCUUGCUUAAGCAUGGUUGUAUUUGCAAUCCAAACCAACCUCUGGGGAUAAUGAGUUUCAGGUGUAAAUUAACCCCUUUAUGUACAAAGAAGGAGCUCAUUGACUCCUGGUUGAUACUUACAAGGAUUAACAAGG